rnacentral:rRNA from 1 species
AAAACGACUCUCGACAACGGAUAUCUCGGCUCUCGCAUCGAUGAAGAACGUAGCGAAAUGCGAUACUUGGUGUGAAUUGCAGAAUCCCGUGAACCAUCGAGUCUUUGAACGCAAGUUGCGCCCUAAGCCUUCUGGCCGAGGGCACGUCUGCCUGGGUGUCACAAA